GUCUAUGGCCAUACCACCCUGAACACGCCCAAUCUCAUCUGAUCUCAGAAGCUAAGCAGGGUCAGGCCUGGUUAGUACCUGAAUGGGAGAGAGGGAGAGAGACAGAGAAA
ensembl:rRNA 5S_rRNA 5S ribosomal RNA